rnacentral:lncRNA from 1 species
CCCUUUCAAAAGGACUAACAGUAGGUUUUGCUCCAAUACCAAUAACAAUCUGCACAAUGAAAAGAGAAAUGAAUUGUCUGUCUUAUCAACUUGCCCAAUCCAUCUUCUAAUGAGAACACAAGCAGAGCAGAUAUUGCCACAGUUUCACAUGUAUGUUGUGAGAUGUAAACAAACAUUCGACGUUAAAGGCCAAUUUAAGGGAAGAAAAAUUAUUGAUCAUAAGGCAAAAGAAUUACUGUGUCUGCAUCGAUGGUUGAUCCAUCUUCAAGUUUAACAGCAGCUACACGUCCGUCAGAACCAGCUUCUAAGUUUUUUAUGGAGGCACCCU